rnacentral:rRNA from 1 species
UACGGGGGGGGUAAGCGUUGUUCGGAAUUACUGGGCGUAAAGGGCUCGUAGGCGGCCAACUAAGUCAGACGUGAAAUCCCUCAGCUUAACUGGGGAACUGCGUCUGAUACUGGAUGGCUUGGAUUUGGGAGAGGAAUGCGGAAUUCCAGGUGUAGCGGUGAAAUGCGUAGAUAUCUGGAGGAACACCGGUGGCGAAGGCGGCAUUCUGGGCCGGUACUGACGCUGAGGAGCGAAAGCGUGGGGAGCGAACAGG